rnacentral:tRNA from 1 species
GCAGGCGUAACUCAGGGGUAGAGUAGUGGCCUUUUAAGCCACGAGUCGGGGGUUCAAAUCCCUCCGCCUGCA